AACUGCUCCCUGCUUUCUGUUCCCCCUCUCAAUCUUCUCACCUCCGUCUCCAUCCUGACUUGGUAUUUCUUAUGCCAUAUGUCUGCCCCAAAUCCCUUUAUUCUUGAAGUUCUCAGCCUCUUGACAUUUUUCUAUCCCAAUCCCCGGUCCUAGGACAUGAUCCUCAGAGAAGGGUCACAUCACAGACCUCCCUCCCUCUCUCUCUCCCUCCCUCCCUCCUUCCCUCUUUCCUCUCUCUCUUCUUCCCUCCUUCCUCCUUCCCUUCCUCUGCUAAAUCAGUGGCUCUUGAUCAUUGGUAUGCAUGAUGGGAAUAGACAAGGCUGUAUGUCUGCCAUCUGUGUCUGUUUCUAUGAGCACUUUAAUGAGAUUAAGGAUAUUUUGACUCUGUACCAUCUCCACCUUCCUCACUGACUCUAGAGCAAGCAUGUCAAACUUGCAGCCCACCGGCCGCAUACAGCCCACAACGAAUAUUUUUGUGGCCCAGCCAAUAUAAGCCCUUUGUAUUCAGCAUGUCUCUACUGAAAUAAACCUACAUUUCUGUGAAAAUUGAAGCUUUGGCGGUCACAUACACUUCCACCUUGCUUAUUUGGCCCGUGUGAGCCUGGGAGUCUGGCAUUCCUGUCUGGAGCCUAGCUCCUGUGUAAGCUGUUCUCCAAAGGGCGGGCCAGUGAGAAGACGCCAUUCCCUUCCCAGGCCCGCGGCUGAGCCGCAGGCGCAUGCGAGGGGCCCGGGCUGAGAGAGCAGCCUUCCCCUUCUCACCUGGCAUCACAGGACACCCCGUCAAAGAAGCAGGUGACCAGCAGCUCCUCGGCCGAGUAGCUCAUGUUGAUUUUCUUCUCCAGUGGCACCUGCGCCAUGAUGUUCAUGUAGUGCAGCUUGUACCACUCCUGGAUGGCAUUGACGCCUGAGCUGAAGGUGUACGUAGCACAGUGGGAUGUGCCAUUCGAACACUGCGAAUAAGAGGAGACGUGAGCCUGAGGCCGUCAGCCCCAGCACUGGCCCACAGCAGGCCUGGAAGGGGCCUGGGACUGGAGUCAGGAGGUCUCACAAUCAGCACUCAAGGCUAGAAGGUAUAGAAGUAGCUCUCAGCCCGUGGCGGUGGCUGGGGCAUGCAGAGGACGGUGGUGAUUGAGUUUGCCCAGGAAGGUAGGUGAUGAAUCUCAUUUUUGGUGAAGGGCUACUUUUUCUGAGCCCCUCAAAUGGGACUAAGAAGGAGAGAUCAGAUGCGUGCCCCCCGCAAAGGCAAGCAAUGCAGGGGACACUGGGUGUUCUGCUGUUUAUCUUCUUCUUUCUGGUGUCUGUGCCCCGAUUUUGCUGUGGCAGAGUUUCCGUUCCCCCUGGGGAUACAGUCUCGCGAGGCUGUCCAUCAAGGUCCCCGUCCUCUGUGAGCCAGCAGGUGAUCCAAGCUUGGCCAAUCAGCUAUCCCAAGAUGGGCUGGGACACCAUCUUCAUGGAUGAAUGACGAAGACUAAAACUACUUGAAGCUUAUGUAACCCAGUAGCAGUAUCCGAUAUGACGUUCCAUCAUUUCUUGUCACCAAGAGCCCUGUAUCUUCCCUAAUUUCUGUCCUUAGGCGAACUACUGGUCACCUAAGACAUUUGCUUUCUGCUUAAGGUGGUGCAUCCAUUUUAGUUGUCUGUAGCCCGUUCACCCUCACUGGGUGCGCUUCCUCCAGUGGGGCCGUGGGGCUAAAGGCAAAAGAGACACCGCCCUGGACCACUGCCUGCAGCCCACCCCCUGCUCCGAACCAGGAGCGUGUACUCACCAGCUGG